rnacentral:rRNA from 1 species
UGGGGAAUUUUGGACAAUGGGCGCAAGCCUGAUCCAGCAAUGCCGCGUGUGUGAAGAAGGCCUUCGGGUUGUAAAGCACUUUUGUCCGGAAAGAAAACCUCGUGGUUAAUACCCGUGGGGGAUGACGGUACCGGAAGAAUAAGCACCGGCUAACUACGUGCCAGCAGCCGCGGUAAUACGUAGGGUGCAAGCGUUAAUCGGAAUUACUUGGCGUAAAGCGUGCGCAGGCGGUUCGCUAAGACAGAUGUGAAAUCCCCGGGCUUAACCUGGGAACUGCAUUUGUGACUGGCGGGCUAGAGUAUGGCAGAGGGGGGUAGAAUUCCACGUGUAGCAGUGAAAUGCGUAGAGAUGUGGAGGAAUACCGAUGGCGAAGGCAGCCCCCUGGGCCAAUACUGACGCUCAUGCACGAAAGCGUGGGGAGCAAACAGG